GUAGCUCAGCUGGUAGAGCAUGCGCGUACAAAGCGUAGGCGGUGUCCAUGCGUGGGUUCGAAUCCCACC
rfam:Echinostoma caproni strain Egypt genome assembly, scaffold: ECPE_scaffold0000566